GAAAAAUCAUUUCAGCCGCCGCAAGUUCGUGAGCCAUGAAAAUCAAUCUAGAUUGUGUUUCGUAGAGGAACACGGUCACACAGGGGUUCACCAUCCUCGUUGGUGCGCCUCCAAUGAUGCGUGAGUAGUUCAUAUCAGACCUAUGGGUCCAUAGGCAGUAGCUAGAUGGCUUUCUCUCUCGUUUUUUUCUCAAUACAAUGGUCUCUUGGAGAUCCAUAUGAUGUAACUCUUUCUUUUGCGGUGUGUUUUUCCGGAUCCGAUGAAUUGUGAGUUUAUAAUCAGAUCUAUGAAAACAUGUUCAUACUUGAUUAUUAUAUCCUCGUAUUUAUUCUCCAAUAUUUGGUUUUUGUCUG
rnacentral:lncRNA from 1 species